rnacentral:rRNA from 1 species
GACGAACGCUGGCGGCGUGCUUAACACAUGCAAGUCGAACGGAAAGGCCCUGCUUUUGUGGUGUGCUCGAGUGGCGAACGGGUGAGUAACACGUGAGUAACCUGCCCUUGACUUUGGGAUAACUUCAGGAAACUGGGGCUAAUACCGGAUAGGAGCUCCUGCUGCAUGGUGGGGGUUGGAAAGUUUCGGCGGUUGGGGAUGGACUCGCGGCUUAUCAGCUUGUUGGUGGGGUAGUGGCUUACCAAGGCUUUGACGGGUAGCCGGCCUGAGAGGGUGACCGGCCACAUUGGGACUGAGAGACGGCCCAGACGCCUACGGGAGGCAGCAGUGGGGAAUAUUGCACAAUGGGCGGAAGCCUGAUGCAGCAACGCCGCGUGCGGGAUGACGGCCUUCGGGUUGUAAACCGCUUUCGCCUGUGACGAAGCGUGAGUGACGGUAAUGGGUAAAGAAGCACCGGCUAACUACGUG